CACGUAGUUAGCCGGCGCUUCUUUACCCACUACCCUCACCACAACCACAGUUGCGGCUUGACCAUGAGCGAAAGAGGUUUACAACCCGAAGGCCGUCAUCCCUCACGCGGCGUCGCUGCAUCAGGCUUUCGCCCAUUGUGCAAUAUUCCCCACUGCUGCCUCCCGUAGGAGUCUGGGCCGUAUCUCAGUCCCAAUGUGACCGGUCACCCUCUCAGGCCGGCUACCCGUCAAAGCCUUGGUAGGCCAUCACCCCACCAACAAGCUGAUAGGCCGCGAGCCCAUCCCCCACCAGAAAAAACCCUUUCCACCAACCCCCAUGCGAAGGCCAGUGAAUAUCCAGCAUUAGCACCCGUUUCCGGGCGUUAUCCAAACGAAGGGGCGAGGUUACUCACGUGUUACUCACCCGUUCGCCACUCAUCCACCCACGCAAGCUGGGCUUCAGCGUUCGACUUGCAUGUGUUAAGCACGCCGCCAGCGUCGUCGUCGUGCGCGAGUCAACUACU
rnacentral:rRNA from 1 species